GUGCACCACCUGGAGCAGGCCAGGCUGGAGACUCAGGGCAGGUGGCCGAGGCCCAGAACCAUGGCCUCCGUGUGCUCCUGGUCCUGUUCCUUGUCCUUUCCUAAGGAACACUGAGCUGGAGGGAUGACUGACAUUCUCGAGUCCCGUGGAAAUACCAUCGAAUGCUAUUAAACCAUAAUCAUGGCGGAUCAGACAGCACUUCAUCUGUGUGAGUGUCCGCAGCCGGCGACAGCAACGUGGGUCUAGAGACCGCAAUACGUACGGUGUUCUGGAAUCAUCACUCUUGUUCGGGAAGUGCUGUUAUGACUCGAUGGUAUCGGGUCCAGAGCUGCUGCAAUGACGUCCGCAGGUCCUGUUUACCCUUUGGAAGGAUACCUUUUGGAGAAGGGGAACAAAUGACCCUCACAGCUGGAAUUAAUUCGACAGUGCAGGUUCUGAAACAAUGUCCACUCCAUCGGAAGUCAUCCCAGAACACUGCCUGCUCUACCCAGGCUGCCUGGUGCCAGGUACUUGUUGGGUGUGAAGUCCAGGUCACAGCGGGAAAGAGGCUGCAACUCAAAUGGUUCAAAGGAAGCAGACUCCGUGGAAGGAACUUUUAGCAGCGUGGCCAGAAUUAGGCGAAACAACCAGGAUGUUUAAAGCACCCAUCGCAAGCAUCAGCCCGAACCUUGAAAAUCCCCUAAAAUAAAAGGAGAGGAGAUACUGUUACCUUAGCUUGUGGGAGCUAGAACUGGGAAGAAAAUGGCCUGAGAAAGAUGGGGCUGGGACAGGGGUGGGAGAAGCAUGACUGUCUCCAGCUGGGUUAGCACAAUCAGAAAACUAUGGUGACUUCUGGCCUUUAAUUUCUCUGGGACUUUAAUUUCCCCAAGGGAAGGGAGAUUUUAUUUUCUCCAUGGCAACACACACAUAAAAUAGGGAGUUUUUGUUACUGGAACUUAAGUAUCUGAGGGAAUUUAAUAAAGAAGGGAUUCAUAUGAUUUCCAUUUAGAAUAUUUUUUAUAUUGUGGGCAUUGUAUAUGUGGUGCCCAGGUGUGUACUGUGCUGGUGAGCCAGG